rnacentral:rRNA from 1 species
UACGGAGGUGGCAAGCGUUGUUCGGAUUUAUUGGGUGUAAAGGGUGUGUAGGUGUCCCGAUAAGUCGAACGUGAAAUCCCUUGGCUCAACCAAGGAACUGCGUUCGAAACUAUCGGGAUUGAGUAUGGAAGAGGAGAGUAGAAUUCCUGGUGUAAGGGUGAAAUCUGUAGAUAUCAGGAGGAACACCGGUGGCGAAAGCGGCUCUCUGGUCCAAUACUGACGCUGAAACACGAAAGCUAAGGGAGCAAACAGGAUUAGAUACCCCCGUA